UACACACGGAUAACAUACCGAAAGGUAUGCUAAUACGGGAUAAUAUAUUUGAGAGGCAUCUCUUAAAUAUCAAAGGUGAGCCAGUACAGGAUGGACCCGCGUCUGAUUAGCUAGUUGGUAAGGUAACGGCUUACCAAGGCGACGAUCAGUAGCCGACCUGAGAGGGUGAUCGGCCACAUUGGAACUGAGACACGGUCCAAACUCCUACGGGAGGCAGCAGUGGGGAAUAUUGCACAAUGGGCGAAAGCCUGAUGCAGCAACGCCGCGUGAGUGAUGAAGGCCUUCGGGUCGUAAAACUCUGUCCUCAAGGAAGAUAAUGACGGUACUUGAGGAGGAAGCCCCGGCUAACUACGUGCCAGCAGCCGCGGUAAUACGUAGGGGGCUAGCGUUAUCCGGAUUUACUGGGCGUAAAGGGUGCGUAGGCGGUCUUUCAAGUCAGGAGUGAAAGGCUACGGCUCAACCGUAGUAAGCUCUUGAAACUGGGAGACUUGAGUGCAGGAGAGGAGAGUGGAAUUCCUAGUGUAGCGGUGAAAUGCGUAGAUAUUAGGAGGAACACCAGUUGCGAAGGCGGCUCUCUGGACUGUAACUGACGCUGAGGCACGAAAGCGUGGGGAGCAAACAGGAUUAGAUACCCUGGUAGUCCACGCUGUAAACGAUGAGUACUAGGUGUCGGGGGUUACCCCCUUCGGUGCCGCAGC
rnacentral:rRNA from 1 species